UGUGAGAAUCUGGUUGAAGGUAAGGGCUGGUUUUGCACAAACUGGAUAUUUAUUUAAAGUUGAAUUUUGCAGUACUUCAUGAUGUUCUAUAGGAAAAGGUAUUAUCUCUGACCGCCAGAACACAUUUUCAACAUGGCUGUAGCUCAAUCCUCCAUUCGUCUGGUCCCAUCGGGAAAUGGACAGAGAGUCUAACAUUCACCUCUAAGGAUGUAGGAAGGUAAUUUGAUCAAUUUAAAUAAGGAAGUCUUUGCUUGCCCAGAAGGAAUUAGACCAGUCUGGCUGGCUUGCUGAGAAACUUCUUUCCCCCCCUCCCUCUUCCUCUUUCUCCACUUGGUCCUCUUUCUUAUCUGCCUGCCUCCUUAUCUUUCUAUCUCAUGGUGUCCCUCGAGGAUACUGGAUGCCCAGUCCUGGGAACCUGGGACCUCCCUGCGCUUGUCUGGGCCAGCACCCAGGCCUUCCCCCAGCCCAGGAAACCCAAGCGUUUGCAGUCCAAGCUCGUGUGAAAACUGGCCUUCACAUCUCAGUCAGGGAUUCUCACACCUUUCCCCGGGUCUCCUAAAGCAGUCACUGGCAAGACACGGCCUUGAACUCUCAUAUUCCAUCUUAAAAAUGCCCGUGCCGUUCGCCAUCCCCUGCAUCAUCUAUGACACACAAAUACCCACUGCCACUCCCCAUACAAAUAUGGAAUGAAAAUGGACGUUCCCGAAAGAGCCACUGGGUUUCCCCUGAGACUUCAUCACCUUCACACGCCAGAAACCCUCGUAUGACCAUUUGAGAAGCUCCAAACCUGAACCCAUCUUCUCCUCAUUGACAUAUAGAUAGCUUUUUCUCUAGCAAAUUAUAUAGGGACUGUCUGUUCUGCAAUCAUCACGCUUAUUUGAUCCCCUUUUCCCACCCCCCAGAAAAUAGGUUCUGGGUGAGAAUCCACCUGUUUGGGAGGCUGAGGGGAGGUCAGCUUCCCCUCCACGUCUUACCUCUCCUCCCUUCCAGACAGACCUGAGUGUCCUAAAGAGACCCUCUACUGCUCAGUGACAAUUGAUUCAACCUGUGCUGGCCCAGGGGUGUCUCUGCAGACCACCUGCUGGGGAGACUUCUCACGAACAUG
rnacentral:lncRNA from 1 species